CUGCGGCCAAGUCCUACCAAUCUUGCAAAAGCUGAAGAACCAUUUCACAGUCCGAGAUGGAGAUUCACUGUUUGUCUCCUGUCUAAAGAAGACAAUCUGGACUGAUCUAUUAAAGCGAUAUCAGACAGACCAGGUGAGAAACUUCCUUGGAGAAGCAACUGCCAUGGACCCUCGCUCUAAGCAUACGCUAGAGGAAGAGGAUGCUUAGGAAGAUAAGACAGUGUGGAACCGGAUCAAUGAGAAAAUCCUUGCUGCACAUGAUCCUGCAGAAACAGAACAGCUGACAGAGCCUGGUGUCUUCGGCAAGGAGGGACGCAAGCAGACUGACGAGCCAAGAGGGGAGGAGAGCGAGGAAUCGGAGGAUGAGACUGUUUCACUUCAAACGAGGAAGAAGAUGAAGCUAACGCCCCUGGAGAAGCUUUUCGCUGAGGAUGAUAUCCUGAAAUUGAAGCAGUUUGACGAGGAGGAAGUGCAUCUCAUUGACAACAGUAACUUUGAACGC